rnacentral:rRNA from 1 species
UACGAAGGGGGCUAGCGUUGCUCGGAAUCACUGGGCGUAAAGGGUGCGUAGGCGGGUCUUAAGUUAGAGGUGAAAGCCCGGGGCUCAACUCCGGAACUGCCUUUAAGACUGCAUCGCUUGAAUCCAGGAGAGGUGAGUGGAAUUCCGAGUGUAGAGGUGAAAUUCGUAGAUAUUCGGAAGAACACCAGUGGCGAAGGCGGCUCACUGGACUGGUAUUGACGCUGAGGUGCGAAAGCGUGGGGAGCAAACAGG